UUACGGUCACAUCACGUUGAAACACCUGCUCCUGUACGAUCACCGAAGUUUAAGCAACGUCGAGCUUGGUUAGUACGUCGAUGGGGGACCGCUUGGAAAUACCAGGUGCUGUAAG
rnacentral:rRNA from 1 species